rnacentral:lncRNA from 1 species
CUGUGACACAGCCUCAGGAGGUCCUGAGGGCAUGUGCCCUGUAUAAUAAUCAAGUUUCUGUUGAAUUUUUCUGGCUGCAAAUUUAGCCAUCACCAACCUCCAAGAAAGAUAUUUAUAAUUACUUCCUCAUGGCUCAUCUUACUAGUAUUUAUCUCUGUGGCACAAGUGAAAAGUUAUCACUUAGAAUAAUGCAUCUCUAGCCAGUUGGCCUGACUUUCAGGAAAUAACCUGUAAUGAAUAUGGAUCUAUAUCCCUGGGCAUAUUUAGAAAACAUAGAAAUGAGAAUGUGAAAGGGAUAAAAUACAUAAAGAAGGGCUGAUCAGAAAGCCCAAAUGCCAGUUGAGUGAAGUGGUUGAAUAGAAGGAACUUGCUUUUUUUUUUUUUUUGACACAGUUUCGCUCUUGUUGUCUAGGCUGGAGUGCAAUGGCACUAUCUCGGCUCCCUGCAACCUCUGCCUCCCAGGUUCAAGCAAUUCUCUUGCCUCAGCUUCCUGAGUAGCUGGGAUUACAGGCAUGCGUCACUGCACCCAGCUAAUUUUUGGUAUUUUUAGUAGAGACGGGGUUUCACCAUGUUGGCCAGGCUGGUCUCAAACUCCUGACCUCACGUGAUCACCCGCCACAGCCUCCCAAAAUGCUGGGAUUAUAGGCGUGAGCCACCACUCUUGGCGGAACUUACUUUUCAAAGAGGAAGCAGUUGCCUCCUAAUAAAGUGAGUGCCGUGGCUAGAGUGUAAAAUCCUGUGGAAUGAAACAGUCAUAGUUGGUGAAAGUUGUUCAGGCAAAUCAUAUAUCAUUCCUGAUAGUUGGUGAGCUGUUAUAAUUCUCAUUAAACUUUUUAAAUGGAGACUUUCCUCUAGAUUGAUCAACUUUCUCAUGGCUAUAUUGAAAUAUUUUUAUUAGAUUAUUUAGUCUUAGUUUAGACUUUCUGUGUUCACAGAGGUUUGGAAUCUAUUUAUAUCUAAGUUAAUGUAAGAUUAUUUUAAUCUUUUUCUUGUGAAAAGAAAUGUGAAUUGUAUUUUUUAUUAGAAUUUGUUCAGAUAGAUCAGUCUUUCCUUCUUAUUGGUAAGUGCUUCUAUCCCCCCAUCUGACUAUAGUUACUGAACAGAAUAUCUUUCUUUGUCUGCUCUCUCAGGCUGCCUGAGCGAGUGAUUGAGCAGAAGGUGGGAUCCCAGGUUUUCUUGAGCCUGCUUUAGUUUCAGUUAGAAAGAUAAUGUAAGUUAAAAAUGCCAGCAAAAUAGAUAAUGUAAAUGAGCAGAACAUACUCCUCCUUCUGAUAAAUGUUACUGGAAAAAUGAAGAACUAAGAGAAUGAAACAUAUUUGAGGCUUAGAAGAUGGGGUGAAGGGUUUCCUGUAAGAAUAAGAAUCUUGUAGCUGCAGUCAAUUUGGUGGCCAGUUUUCAAACACUGAAAAAUCUAUCAUCUGAGAAACUUUUCAGGAUUAUGUAUUAUUACAGUAUUUUGAUACAGCUGAAAAAAAUUAAGUUAUUAUUGCUCCUAUUAACAUUUAUUUAGGCUGGGUGUGGUGGCUUACACCUGUAAUCCCAACACUUUGGGAGGCUGAAGUAGGGGCAUUAGUUGAGCCCAGGAUUUUGAGACUAGCCUUGGGAAGUUGGCAAAAUCCUGUCUCUACAAAAAAAUAGAAAAAUUAGCCGAGCGAGGUGGCAUACUCCUAGCUGCUUGGGAGGCUGGGGUGGGAGGAUUGCUAGAGCUUAGCAAUUGAGCCUUGAUCGUAGCCACUGCAGUCUAGCCUGCGUGACAAAGUGAGAUGCUGUUUCAAAAAACAAAAAAAUCAAAAACAAAACACCACACACCCAGUUAUUUAGUAGUUUUAGGAUUCUGCACAUAUUUUUUCCUUUAAAUUUAGUGACUACCCUGAGAGUUAAGUGGGGAGCUUUAUUAUCAUCAUUCCUAUAUUGGCAACAAGGAGCCACUGAAAAUCAUCCUUUUUGGUGGCAGAACAAGGACUUAAUCCCAGUUCUUUCUGAUUGCAGGAAAAACAUGUAGGCUUUAGCAUUUUUUGUAGUGUAACAAGCACCUGCCAGGAAUUAAGAGACUUGGUUUCUUUUUUUUUUUUUUUGAGAUGGAGUCUCGCUCUGUCGCCCAGGCUGGAGUGCAGUGGUGAUGUCGGCUCACUGCAAGCUCUGCCUCCUGGGUUCACGCCAUUCUCCUGCCUCAGCCUCCCAAGUAGCUGGGACUACAGGCGCCCGCCACCACGCCCGGCUAAUCUUUUGUAUUUUUAGUAGAGACGGGGUUUCACCGUGUUAGCCAGAAUGGUCUCGAUCUCCUGACCUUGUGAUCCACCCGCCUCGGCCUCCCAAAGUGCUGGGAUUACAGGCGUGAGCCUCUGCGCCCGGACUGAGACUUGGUUUCUUACUCAAGUUAUGCUUGUGAUCUUGGAGAAAUUACUUUAUACUUUUGUUAGAAGAUUCAUUGACUUUCUUUACCCCACUUUUAAAAAUUGACACAAACUAUAUAUAUUCAAGGUGUACAAUAUAAUGAUUUUAUAUACAGGUACAUUGUGUCCUGAUUACCAUAGUCAAGUUAAUUAACAACCAUAAACCUUCAACACCCAUAGUUAACCAUUUGUGUGUAUGCCUGUGUGCAUGAGUGUGGUGAGGACACUUAGAAUCUGUUCUUUUACCAAUUUCAAGUCAACAAUACAGUAUUACUAAUAGUAGCCACCAUGCUGUACAUUAGAACCCUAGAACUUACUCAUCUUAUUAACAGAAAGUUCGUGCCCUUUGACCAAUAUCUCCCUCACCCUAGUCCCUGGCAACUGCUGUCCUACUUUCUGCUUCUGUGAGUUUUCGACUGUUUUUUAUUCUAAUGUAAGUGAGACAGUAUUGUCUUUCUGUGUCUAGCUUAUUUCACUUGAUUAGUUGACUUCUAAAGGCAUUUCAGCUUUCUUUAUGUAGAGAAGCACACCCAAACCCUGAUUGAAACCUUGGAGUUUGACAUACUGAUCUAAGCCAAGUGGUAAUAUUGAAAAUUCUUUUUUUCCAGAAUGUUAUAGUUCUGUUGUCUGCAAUCUUGCCCUAAGAAUUUAGACCACAAGAAUUUCUUCCAUGCCUAUGUAUAAUAUUUCAGUUCUUGGAACUUCCAUCUAUUCAAUAGGCAUAGACUCUUAUAGGUCAGAAAAUUAUUCAUUAAGUGCUUCGACACAUAUUGCCUUGCAUAGUCCAUGGAUGGUAGUUAGAAAGAUUUAGCAAAGGAAUAUGUGUAAAAGCGUCUGGAAGCACAGUUCCUGGCAUAUUUCCAUUUCUAGUGUGUAAGCCACCAAAUUAUGGCUCAGAAACAUGCGACAACUUGCUUAGAUUUACAUUGCUAUUAAGUACCAGAACUAAGGGGGAGAGCUGGGUCUUUAAAGUCCAAAGCCUUUUUUUUUUUGUCAUUUCACCAGAGUAUCUCACCAGCAACUUAGCCGUUUACUUUAACUAAAUAAUAAUUGUCCUGGAAACAAUUAUUACUGGUCAGAAAGGACACUGAGGACAUAAGAUUAACACAAAUCUAUUACUAGGAAUUCAGAAGCAACUUAGCUAUGUCAUCAUGUCAGGUGCUUAGUAAUCUUUUCAUAUAAAGAAGAGCACAGUGGGAUUUGCCAUCUUUUAUGGUAGUUAUCAAGGUUGUUAGUAGUGAUACCCAGUGAAUUAUUAGAGGAAUAGUUUAAAUUUCGCUUACAAGUAUUGUUAGGCUUCUGUGUGCAGUGUGGACCAACUCUACAUGCAUGUUCUCUUAAAUUUCAGUAAGCACAUGCUUUGUUUAGGGAUUUUAAAAAACAUUAUUAUUAUUAUUUGAGACCGAGUCUCGCUCUGUUGUCCAGGCUGGAGUGUAGUGGCGUGAUACUGGCUCACUGUAACCUUUGCCUCCUGGGUUCAAGCAAUACCCCUGCCUCAGCCUCCCCAGUAGCUGGGAUUAUAGGCGCCUGCCACCAUGCCUGGCUAAUUAAAAACAUUAUUUUUACAUCUUGAAAAAUACAUUUAAACCUCUUAGAUUUGAAGAUAUUAGGUUAUUUAUUUAUUCUUCCCAGCCAACUUUACUGAGGUAUGAAGGAUUAAUAAUUGUGUAGCUAAAUCUAUAUCUGUCUUUCUAUCAAUCGAUCAUCUAUCUAUAUGAUAAACAACAUGAUGUUUUGGAGACAGUGUCUCACUCUGUCAGCCUUGACCUCCCAGGCUUGAGAUUUUCCCACCUCAGCCUCAGUGGGACCACAGGCUCAUAUUACCAUGGCUGGCUAGUUCAAAUAAUUUUUUUUGGUAGAAACAGGGGUCUCCUUGUGUUGCCUAGGCUGGUCUCAAAUUCCUGGGUUCAAGCAAUCCUCCCACCUUGGCUUCCCAAAGUGCUGGGAUUACAAGCAUGAGCCAUCUCACCUGGCUACAUUUUGAUAUGUGUACACAUUGUGAAGUCAUUACCACAGUCAAGCUAACAUAUCCAUCACCUCAGCUAGUUAUGGAGGCUCUGUCACCCAGGCUGGAGUGCAGUGGGGUGAUCUCAGCUCACUGCAACUUCUGCCCUCUGGGUUCAAGCAGUUCUCCUUCUUCAGCCUCUCUAGUAGCUGGGAUUACAGGUGUGUGCCACCACACCCAGCAAAUUUUUAUAUUUUUAGUAGAGAUGGGAUUGUGCCAUGUUGGCCAGGCUGGUCUCAAACUCCUGACUUCAGGUGAUCCACCAGCCUUGGCCUCCCAAAGUGCUGGGAUUACAGGUGUGAGCCACCGUGCUGGGCUUUUAUUUAUU